ACACGGCUCCCGGCAACGGAUAUCUCGGCUCUGGCAUCGAUGAAGAACAUAGCGAAAUGCGAUACCUGGUGUGAAUUGCAGAAUCCUGCGAACCAUCGAGUCUUUGAACGCAAGUUGUGCCCGAGGCCUUUGGGCCAAGGGCACACCUGCCUGGGCGUCACAC
rnacentral:rRNA from 1 species